CAGAUCUGCUUUAUCCAACGUGAAGUUCAUCUUGCAACAUUUACUAAGCACAAGAGUAAUUCUUGCAGUGACAGUGUUACUUUUGCUAACGGGGUUAAAUAUGUUGCUAACUGGUUAAAUGUUAAUAUUUACCAAAGUAGAACUUUAAGGGGGGGAGAGGGAUAGUGCUUUUCUAAAUGGGUGCUGCUCCACUGCCUGACUUUGUAAGGUUCUGGUAUUUAGUUUCUUUUCAUUCUAGAUCAGAAAUGAACUUACAAAGGGAGGUUCUGUGGCCUUUACUCUUAACAACUGAUGAAGACUGGCUAACUGUUAGACUGACACAGUUCAUAAAUUAGAACAGAAAGAAAAGUUUAAAACAGAAGCACUUCAAAAGAGGAAACUCUGCAGUGCUUAAAUUAAGCUUUAGAAGCCAAGUCAGGCCUGGCCCCCACAGGCUGCACAGCUGAGCAUUAAAGUAAUUGGUCUUUCCAUGCUCUGCAUUCU